rnacentral:rRNA from 1 species
GAGUUUGAUCAUGGCUCAGAUUGAACGCUGGCGGCAGGCCUAACACAUGCAAGUCGAGCGGUAGCACAAGAGAGCUUGCUCUCUGGGUGACGAGCGGCGGACGGGUGAGUAAUGUCUGGGAAACUGCCUGAUGGCGGGGGAUAACUAGUGGAAACGGUAGCUAAUACCGCAUAACGUCGCAAGACCAAAGUGGGGGACCUUCGGGCCUCACGCCAUCAGAUGUGCCCAGGUGGGAUUAGCUAGUAGGUGGGGUAACGGCUCACCUAGGCGACGAUCCCUAGCUGGUCUGAGAGGAUGACCAGCCACACUGGAACUGAGACACGGUCCAGACUCCUACGGGAGGCAGCAGUGGGGAAUAUUGCACAAUGGGCGCAAGCCUGAUGCAG